rnacentral:tRNA from 1 species
GGAGAGAUGGCCGAGCGGCUGAAGGCGGGCGCCUCGAAAGCGUCUGUGCCCUCUACGGGUACCAAGGGUUCGAAUCCCUUUCUCUCCGCCA